UACGUAGGGUGCGAGCGUUGUCCGGAAUUACUGGGCGUAAAGAGCUCGUAGGUGGUUUGUCGCGUUGUUCGUGAAAACUCACAGCUCAACUGUGGGCGUGCGGGCGAUACGGGCAGACUAGAGUACUGCAGGGGAGACUGGAAUUCCUGGUGUAGCGGUGGAAUGCGCAGAUAUCAGGAGGAACACCGGUGGGCGAAGGCGGGUCUCUGGGCAGUAACAUGACGC
rnacentral:rRNA from 1 species